CCGUGGCCCGGCCCCUGCUGUCGCCCGGGCUUGAGCUCAGGGGCUUAUCGCUCUCUUGAUCGUGCUCCGUCGUGCCCCGACCGCUGAUGGGUGCAAGGGGGUUAGAGAGGACAUUUGUGCUAGUGCCCAUUGGUGGUGGAGCCCAGCAUGUGACCCCUGCACUGGCGUGAUCAGCAUUGCCCAGCAAAGGGUCCGAAGUUAACCCCACUGCCGGAUCAACCUGAGGAGUGACCAAAGGGGUGAAUUCCUCUGAAUCCAGACACCUCACUCCAGCAUCCAAGCUGCUCCUGAUGGUAAGGGCAGGAGUUUGCUUGGAGCAUGGAGACCUUCUCACCACCAGAACCAGAGUUCCCUGCAGAAAAGAGCUCAUCUGUGCCGCAGAAAAAAUCUCAUAUCCUGGUGGGUGUAACUGGAAGUGUCGCUGCCUUGAAGUUGCCUCUCCUCAUUGCCGAACUGCUGAAAAUCCCUGGGGAGAUCAUCGAGAGAGGCAGGGGCAGAAGGAGACAGAGAGAGGUGCACAACACAGUCCAUUCGACCAAGAAAUCAUACUCUGUCCUCCAAAGCCACUCUUUCUUGUGAAGCCUUGUGCAGCAGAGCUUGAAGUGAAGGUGGUCACUACUGAGAGAGCAAAGCAUUUCUACAAUGCCCAGGAGAUUCCUGUCACCCUCUACAGCGAUGAAGAUGAAUGGCAGCUGUGGAAAGGCCGUUCAGACCCAGUCCUGCACAUCGAGCUCAGACGGUGGGCUGACCUCAUGUUGGUGGCACCUCUUGAUGCAAACACGCUGGCAAAGCUUGCCAAUGGCAUCUGUGACAACCUGCUGACUUGUGUCAUCCGUGCUUGGGAUCUGAGCAAACCUCUGCUCUUCUGCCCAGCUAUGAACACAGCCAUGUGGGAGCAUCCCAUCACGGCUCAGCAGGUGGAGCAGCUGAAAGGCUUUGGCUACACAGAGAUCCCCUGUGUAGUGAAGAAACUAGUGUGUGGAGAUGAAGGUCAGUCCUUUUGUGCAUCUUCUGACUGGUUUCCUGCAUGAGUGCUGCUCUUAUCCUGAAGGGAUGUACGUUCUUCUGCCGCUUGGCCUUCAAGGUGUUGGUGCUUGCUGUCAGGGUUUACGCAAACUGAAGCUUUGCCCCGUGCUAGCUGGUAGGCGCAGCGCUUCUAGAGAAUAUUUUUUUGGAGCUGAAGACUGAGAAAUAUUUACAGUUAGGUAAGUGUAGUCAAGUAACUCAGGCAUCAGUUGAAAUAUCACGGACAGUUAUGCUUCCGCUGGGAUUUUAGACCUGAUUACAUCAAAUUUCUUACGUACUUGUAAUAACGUUAAGGGAAAACGCCCAAAAGAGAUCAUUCAGCGCAGACAUUUUGGCAGAAGCGGAAAGGCCAUCUGGCAUAGCUUCUUUGUCCUUUAUUUUUUCCUUUCAUCUUUUUUAGUACUUCUAUAGGAUCUCCGUUCCUGCAGUAAGCGGCUGAGUGCCUCCCCAUGGGUAAUGUGCACCUGAGGCAGAGCUGUGGUGUUGUCAUCCCCGUUCCGCGGAUGGGGAUCUGUGAUGCAGAAGGGCCACAUGUAUUGACUCAUCAGCACAAAGGGAUUAGAGCUGGAUGGUGAACACAAUUUCCAUCUUCUGCUGCUCUGCCCUGCCCGUUUCCUGGGGGAUGCCACCCUUGCGACAGGGAUGUGCGAGCCACAUGAGAAGCAGCGUGUGAAUUGCUGUGGUUUGUAGCUCAGAAUGGCAAAGUCAGCCAGCGUUGAUCGGGAGUUACCUCAUUCCACCAGCAGUUGUUUGGGAGCUGCUUCAUAUUCAGUUCAGCCAUCUCUGCUGUGAGAACAAACUCCUGAGGGAGCUUCAUGGACAGCUGGGGCAGUAGUAGCCACAUCUGACUUGACUCUGCUUGUGCCUGUGAGUCAGUUCACAACACGAUUUUCCUGUUGGCAAACGCCAGGAUGUUCCUGGCAGUACGUAGGAAAAUUAUGGCAAAGCAGUUGUCGUGGUUUAACCCCAGCCGGCAAUGAAGCAAGCACCAACCAGCUGCUCGCUCACUCCCCUCCAGCAGGA